rnacentral:rRNA from 1 species
UAUUAUUGAUAAUUUAAAUUGGUAUACUAGAGUAGUAAUAGUUAAGAUCUUGAAACUCAAAGAAUUUGGCGGUAUUUUAGUCUUUUCAGAGGAAUCUGUUCCGUGAUUGAUAUUACACGAUUGGUUAUACCUGAUUUUAUUAGGAUUUGUAUACCGCUGUCGUAAGAUUAUUUUUAGAGAAUUGAAAUUUUCUUAAUAGUUAAAUUAUUUAUAUGUCAGGUCAAGGUGCAGUUUAUGGUUAGGAGUUGAAAUGGAUUACAAUAAAGUUAUUUAUUACGGAUAAAUGAUUUAAGAUUUGUGUUGAAGGUGGAUUUGAUUGUAAAUAUUUUUUAUAUUUGAGUAUUGAUUAGAGCUCUAGAAUGUGCACACAUCGCCCGUCGCUCUCGUUUAUUUAGGCGAG